GCCUGGGUGGCUCAGUGGGUUAAAGCCUCUGACUUCGGCUCAGGUCAUAGACUCAGGGUCCUGGGAUCGAGCCCCACAUCAGGCU
rnacentral:tRNA from 1 species